GUCUACGACCAUACCAGACUGAAAACACCGGAUCCCAUCCGAUCUCCGGAGUUAAGCAGCUAAGUCUAAGCUUAUAAAGGUUUAGAAGACACGAUGUAUGGCUAAAGUAGGUUGAGUUCU
rnacentral:rRNA from 1 species